GGGUGGAGCGUCUGCGAAGGGAGGUAUGUGUAAGCGCCUUCAGCUUGGUGCUGCGACUUUGGAUAAGAAAACGGGUUGGACUAGGUUAAAGCAUCGAGAGACCCCAGGAUUGCUUCAGGCCAGCAGAACCCACUGGAGAAAAAAAUAUUGGUAAAUAAGUUAUCUUCACAUCAUACAGUUUGGAACUACUGAGAGGAAGAACCAUAGGCUUAAAGUCUUUCUGCUGAAGUGACACCUCGAGUAUCAUGUCUACACUGACAAUGUUUUCUAGCUAUAUCCAUACUUGCAAAACAAAGUAUUAUUUUGAAAACUCCCAGCACUAUAUAAAAAAAACUAGUUACUGAUUUUAGUAGUUCAGCUUUCAGAGUUCACAGGCUCCACCUAGGAAUGAUGGAAGUAAAAUCAGUGUUUUUAUACCAAAGUAAAUAAAAGACCACUCAUCUUUUCUUGGUGUCAGUAGUCAGGGCAAGCUCCUGUUUAAAUGUGUUCAUUAUAAAAAAAGAUAGUCACACUAUAAAUUCUGUCCUUCCCUCUGAGAGAAGCUAGGUGAUGUACAUACAAAAGCAGCAAGACAACUGAUAACUCAAAAUAAUCAAGAAGAGUAUGAAACACUCUGUAGGGAGCAAAAUCUUUCCCUUGCCUACUGGCUUGCCCAAGCAGGGUAUUAUAGUAAAAGAUUGGUGGAAAUGAUGAAAGAACAAGAGAUAGGCAGUGAAAUUAAGAAGAAAUUGGAGCCCUGGCUGAUGUGGCUCAGUGGAUUGAGCACGGGCCUGCAAACCAAAGGGUUGCCAGUUUGAUUCCCAGUCAGGGCACAGACCUGGGUUUUGGGCCAGGUCCCCAGUAGCUAGUGCGCGAGAGGCAACCACACACUGAUGUUUCUCCCCCUCUCUUUCUCCUUCCCCUCUAUCUAAAAAAAUAAAUAGAAUCUUUUUAAAAAAAAGAAGAAGAAGAAAGAAGUUGGAGGGGGAAACAACCCAAGUAUAGAGAUUUAAAAAUGGCACUAUUUGGUACCUGAGAGAGAUGAAACACAUAGGCACAUACAUCAAAUGGGACAGGUCAAAGAAUUUAAGAAGAAAGCAUUUGGACAAUUACUUUGAUUCCCUAGUGUCACAUUCUCAAAAAUUUAGCCAGAAGAGCAUGGUGUCUAGAAUGGACAGAGAAGAAAACAGGUAAAGGAGAGGGAACAGAUACAAAUUAAGAUCACCAGGAAUGUGUGAUUCAAGGGAGAGAAUUUAUAGAGCAAAGACUGAAGGAAACAUUCUUAAGCCAGAACCAGCCACCUACAGCAAAGAAGCAUGGGAGAAUAAGGAAAGAGAUACAAGAAUUUGAAAGUGUUCUUGUAUAUCCACUUUUUUUCAGCCAGUCAGAUUAAAAUUAUGGAAAAGUCUCAAUACAGAAGAAGAAAGACAGUUAUAAAACCUUAUUAAAAAAUUCAUAGCUAUGCCACCCUUUUUUGAGAAGUCAAGAAAAGUAAAAGAUUAGUAGAGUUUCAGUGCUUUUCUGAUAAAAAUGUCUCUUAAAUGAAUUUUUAAUGCUAAUUCUCAUCUAUCCCUAGAGUUUAGUGCAUAGUCCCAUUUUAUAUCAGAUACUGAAAUAGUAAAUAUUUUUGGCCUUAGAAACUAGCUUAGUAUUUUUAUUCCUUUUAAUUCUCUUUGAUAUUUCCUCACCUGUAAAAGUGGGAUUAAUAAUAUUUUUUAGCAUUUACGGGUAAAUUAUGAUUUCUGUGAAACAUUAGCAUAUGGUAGAUGUUUCAUGAAUGUUAGUUUCCCCAGUUGGGAAGACCUGGCUUGAGCAGUGAUGGUGAAUAAGGAAUUGUUCUAAUCUGCUUCUCCCAUUCUCGCUGCUGUCAACCCUGGGAGAUUAUCUUGAUGAAAUUGCUACAGGUAAAUAUAUGGCCUUUCAUUUCCCAUUCCUAGUGUCACAUUCUCUUUAUCAGGAAACUAUUAACCAUGUCCUAAAAGUCUAACUUGCACUGUGUAAUUUAUUUAUAUGAGAAACCUAAUUCUGAGACUCUUCUAUAUGCCAGGCAUUGUUAGUUGUUGGGAGUGAAUAAAGAGAAGUCCUGGCCCUUGAAUAGGUUGCAACUAGUGGCAUAGAGCACUCUCUAAGUAGAUAGUAAGAUGUGGUAAGGGUUAUGGUAGGGGUAUGUAGGGAACUGUACAGAAAAGGGUCACCUGAUCUAGACUAGGUGAGCAGGAUGAGGAGGAGGAGGGAGGUUAGAGAAGGGAGUACUGUAGUCUCAAUUUUCUUCCAGCUCCACAUAUUAUCACUAUCUGUCAUCCAAGUAAGCAAGACCUUUCCAAUGUUUGAAUCUACUCAGAGCUAACCAAACUCACCCUCUCUCAAACAGAUUUAUUUAUACCCUGAUAAAUCAAAACCAAUUUAUGAAUUUAAUGAAAAUUUUAAUUACCAAGCAGAGUGAAAUUUGUUUACCAUUCAGUUCAUUUUUUUUUCAAAUAACCACAAAGUGGGAAAAGGAGAGGUUCCAAGUUGGUGAGUAGACAAUCAGAGAAAUGGAAAUUGGAUGCUCUAAGGAAUAUACCUAAUUUGUGAUGUUCCUGAUGCCCGCCCUUCUGUACUAGCAGGACACCCUUCACGAGAAUGUUGCUAAAUCAGCAGUCUGAUAGAACUUUCUGCAGUGUUGUGUUCUAUUUUUGUUUUUAGUGUGAUAGCUACUUUACAUAUGUGGCUAUUGGGCAGUUGAAAUGUGGCCAGUACAACUGUGGAACUAACAUUUUUAUUUAAUUUUAAAUCAUUAUAUGUUGCAAGCAUGACACUAAAUAUAAUUCCUGUGUUCUAGACUUCAGUCCCACAAUCAACUUCCUGUCUUUGACAAUAUUUGCAGGUGUGAUAGAUUAAUGCUCAUUUUGUAUUAGUAUCAGUUUCAUUUCUGUAUUUGAGAGGCUCCCUAAUCCCUUGAAGAGAUUCCAAAAGCACUGUAGAGGACUUCUGUGUGGAAAUGAGAUGGCUGAAGUUGCUUAAAUUAGGUUCAGGAACUGGAUCUUUGUUUAUUCUAGAAUUUGACCAGGACCCAUACCAAAAUUUCAUUACUACCCACCUGAUUUGCCUCAUGCACACUUUUUUGCCCAUGUCUGUACCCUGGUCUUCCAUUACCGUGUCCCAGCUUUAGGUUGUAGACCUUUCAAAGAGAUAGAUCAUCAGAGUCCAUGAGGUAAAGAGACAUUCAAAUCAAUAGGGCAGUAACCCUUUGAGUUCAGUGGACUGAAAAGUAAUAUAACAGAACUACCUUGGAUUCUAUUGCUGUGGGUUCUAUUGCCUGCCGCUGAAAAGAACUGUAACUCCCAAUGCCAGAGUAUUAUGAAAAGGAAAGGAACUGUUUGUUUAAAAGUUACAUAGGUUUAGCCCUGGCUAGUGUAGCUUAGUGGAUUGAGUGCCUACCUGUGAACCAAAGGGUCACUGGUUCAAUUCCCAGUCAGGGCACAUGCCUGAGUUGUGGACCAGGGCCCCAGUAGGGGGUGCAUGAGAGGCAACCACACACUGGUGUUUUCCUCUCUCCUUCCCUUCCCUCCUGUCUAAAAAUAAAUAAAAUUUUAAAAGUUACAUAGGUUUAGAAUAUUGGCAGAAUUCUGCCAUUAAACCCCAUGCCUUUUAGAAAACAAAAAACACCCGCAAAUACAGUCCUGCCUCCCCUUGCCAAACCAGGCAAAUCAGAGGUACAGUCUUUUGGGAAAAGAAAUAGAAACCUGUAGCUUAGCUGGGCGGAUUCCCAUCUGUAUUCCAGCUUCUUCCAGUUGUUUGUGCUCUGGUAGUAUUCCUCUCUUAAUCCAAAACUGCAUCUUCAUGAUGGGCCACUGGGGGUCCUUCUGCAUCCUUUCAAACUGCGAGACCAAGACCCUGCACAGUUGCUACAUGAUCAAGAGCAUGCAAGAGACUCUCAUGGUUCUCCUAGUCUCCUCCUGACAUGGUGCAGAGCUCUAGAAUGACUGCUGCACACUUGGGUGUAAAUACCACAUGGAUCUUCCUCCGUAACCCCAUUUCCUACUGCUCCCACAAAGGCUUAUGACAGGGGACUUAAGAGUUGGAAGAUUUUAGUUUAAGGUAAACAGUUAUAAGCCUAGCAAGGAGUAUAUAUGUUAAAGCUUUUGUUUCAGAAACUAUAGAUAGAUAAGGCCCAUCCUUACUCCUGGGAAAGCAGCCAAUCUCCUGGGGCACUGCUAAAGAUAACCACCUGGGGACAGGUGGGCAUGGGUAACCAAGUUCUUGGUGACUGGGACAAAGAAUUGAACCAAACACCCAGAGUUUAUAGCAGAGAACAUGGGAGCAGGCCAUCUCCAAGCAGAGAUUGACCUCAUGGACAGGAGGGACUCUAUUUUUAUAGGGCGGAUCCUUCCUGGAUAGUUUUGGCAGGCUUUUACUGCACAGGUACAAAUAGUUGUAUUACUUUAAAGCUACUGCACAUGUGGUCUCCCAUGAUUUUCCCGGAUUGGCCACCAGGGAAGGGGGUCCCACAAUGUUACCAAAUUGACCCUCCCCUUCUCCUGUGGUUCCCUUGUACUCAGUUCACCUUGCCCUUCGCCAGAGAAUUAUAGCUCUCCAUGUUAGAGAUUAGUGAAAAGGAAAGGAAUUAUUUAAGUUAUACAGACUUAAGAGUAAUGACUUAAUGUCCUCAUCAAAGUCCUUUAAAACACCCACAAACACACACAGUCCUUCUUCCCCUCUUGGCCUGGUCUGGGGUACCGUAUCUCAGGAAAAGAAAUAGAAGUUCAUGGCUCAGGCAGCCCCUGGUUCUUCCCAGUAAUCCAUGCUUGGCUGGUAGGCCUCCCUCAGUUCCUGGCACCAUCCCUGUGUUGCCAGGAGCUCUAGUUCUUAUUCCAAAACCACAUGGUACCUUCUCAUGGCUCACCAGCAAGAGUCCUUUCACCCCUUUCCUUCCUUCAGUGUCUCUCCUGCAUUCUUCCGAACUGCUAGAGAGAGCUCUGCAUCGCUGCUACAUCUUGCUUUUCAGCUUCCUAGGCUGCAUGACAAAGGAAGACCCAAAGCCAUGUGGUUCUCCCCUAAUAAAGCUGCAUGAUUCCUCUGCUAAAGCCACGUGGUUCUUCUUGUCAAGGCUGCCACACCUGGGUUUAAGUCCCAGUGCCAGUCGUCCUCUGCAGCACCCGUUUCCGACUCCUCCCACAAUUGGCUACACUUGCCAGCACUCAUAUUUUUCAGCUUCUCUGGGCUGCCAAGGUAAGUCUGGGCAGGUGUGGCCCUGUGGUGUGGAGCCAAUCAUCUCCAAGCUCUUAUGAAAGCUCUGUAACCUGGGGGGAGCUGCCUCCCAGUUACAUCUUGGGUGGAAGUCACUCCCUGCUCCCUGGCUCAAAGCAUGGCCACAGCUAUUUAACAUAUGUAUGAAACCAGUUAAAGGUUAUGCAAAACUGUUGCCAUGCAAAACAACUCAAUGGCCCUGUUGCAUGUAUUCUGUCCCCCAGCUCAGACUUGUGGGGGUGAAGGCAUCCCAUAUUUUUAAUAUUUCCUGGAUACCCUGAGUUCUAGACCCCAUUACAGAUCCUUCUUUUGGGGGCCCCCUGACUGCACCCUCUUAUAAUUGUGUACCAAAGAGAGACAGAUGACCACCCUUCUCUGGGAAUAGGUAACUGCCCGGGACAAAAAUGUUGCUUUUUUUUUUUUUUUAACCUAAUUCUCCCUGAACAUCAAAAUCCCUCACUGCACCUUGUUUAUUCCCUGGUAUAAAAACGUUGGCCUGGAAAGAAAAGACAAGAUGGUCUGUUAGGGUAUGAACCUGCCAUCUUCUCAGAUUGCCAGCCAUCUGAAUAAAGAGCCUAUAAAGAUUCAA